rnacentral:lncRNA from 1 species
AGAUGGUGCCUGAAGAGAGAGGGCGUUGCUGCAAGCGCCCUGGCUGGAGAGCAUGCCUGCCCGGCACCGUGCUGCCCUGAGGAGCCGCGGACAGCCCCGGAGCUCCCUUCCGGAGUUCUUUCUGCUGCCUCCACCGCCACCGUCUCUCUCUAGCCCCAGCUGAAAUGAAGGCCAUACCGCGGCCACAGAACUUGGUUCAGUUUCAAAGGCUAAUGUAGUCCCUGGGUUUUCUGCUCAAUGUGAAUUACGCUGCCUGUGCCUUAGAGGAAGCCGCGGAGCUCUUCGUUGCUGCAAUUGCCUCAGGUAUUCCAGAAAGAAGAGAUUGAACCCUUGCAAGGUAAACAGCAAGAUGUAAACUGGUUAGGUCAAGGCCUUAUUCAGAGUGCUGCCAAAAGCACUAGCACUCAGGGCUUGGAGCAUGACCUGGAUGAUGUCAAUGCACGGUGGAAGACUCUCAAUAAGAAGGUGGCUCAGCGAGCAGCCCAGCUGCAGGAGGCCUUGCUGCACUGUGGGAGGUUCCAGGAUGCCCUGGAGUCCCUGCUCAGCUGGAUGGUGGACACUGAGGAGCU